GACCAGGACUGGCACGCUGGGGAGACAGUCUGAGGUCAGGCAGUGAGUCCCAAGUCCUCCCACUUUCACAUCCAUCACUUCCCCUCCCCACUCCUGAUCAUUUGAACGCCUGUGGCAGAAGAAGGUGAAAGGCCCUCCUGGUUUAUCAGUGUUUUCUCUCUCUGCAAAACAGCAGCGCUUGUUCCUGAUUACUAACUAGACUGCUAUAAAAAGACUUUACAGCCAUUUGGGGGUUAGAAGGUAUACUGGAAGAGGAAAACAUGACCAUAUUCCAUCAGAUACAGUCGCUUCUGGCAUUCGUAGUUAUCGGAAGUGUCCCGGGGCUGCAGUUGAGAGGCUGCAUGUUUGACUGAACUCCUGCCCAAAACAACCUUCCUGCAAGUAGAAAAACAGCGUGUUUGGUGAAAGCCUAGUCUGAACUAGAGGUGCACACCAACUACAAGAUUUAGUUUGGACCCAAUUCAGCAUGUCAGAAAAGAGUAUGAUUUGGUCCAAAGCACAUUGAAGGCUUUCUAACUUUGCUGGAAGCUGAAUCCCAAUUCAGCAAAUAAAACUUCAUGCUUCCUUCAUUCACGAUUAUGGGGAAAUGCAAAAAUAGUGAUAACUUUUCUCUUUUACAGAAUUGGAUGAAAUUUGUAGGCAUAGCAAUCCCUCCUAUAUGUGUAAAGCCUGCCAAAUUACAGAGGGGCUUGUGCUGAACAUCUUUAAAGAAAAUUCAAAAAGCAACAGUCUAUAACUUUUUUAUUUUUGGCAGAAUUGGA